UGGGGAAUUUUGGACAAUGGGCGAAAGCCUGAUCCAGCAAUGCCGCGUGUGUGAAGAAGGCCUUCGGGUUGUAAAGCACUUUUGUCCGGAAAGAAAUCCUUGGCUCUAAUACAGUCGGGGGAUGACGGUACCGGAAGAAUAAGCACCGGCUAACUACGUGCCAGCAGCCGCGGUAAUACGUAGGGUGCAAGCGUUAACCGGAAUUACUGGGCGUAAAGCGUGCGCAGGCGGUUUGCUAAGACCGAUGUGAAAUCCCCGGGCUCAACCUGGGAACUGCAUUGGUGACUGGCAGGCUAGAGUAUGGCAGAGGGGGGUAGAAUUCCACGUGUAGCAGUGAAAUGCGUAGAGAUGUGGAGGAAUACCGAUGGCGAAGGCAGCCCCCUGGGCCAAUACUGACGCUCAUGCACGAAAGCGUGGGGAGCAAACAGGAUUAGAUACCCUGGUAGUCCACGCCCUAAACGAUGUCAACUAGUUGUUGGGGAUUCAUUUCCUAGUAACGUAGCUAACGCGUGAAGUUGACCGCCUGGGGAGUACGGUCGCAAGAUUAAAACUCAAAGGAAUUGACGGGGUCAUAGCUG
rnacentral:rRNA from 1 species